AUACAGAGGGUGCAAGCGUUAAUCGGAAUUACUGGGCGUAAAGCGCGCGUAGGCGGUUACGUAAGUCGGGUGUGAAAGCCCCGGGCUCAACCUGGGAAUUGCAUUCGAAACUGCGUAGCUAGAGUCUGAUAGAGGGAAGUGGAAUUUCCGGUGUAGCGGUGAAAUGCGUAGAUAUCGGAAGGAACAUCAGUGGCGAAGGCGACUUCCUGGAUCAAGACUGACGCUCAGGUGCGAAAGCGUGGGGAGCAAACAGGAUUAGAAACCCGAGUAGUCC
rnacentral:rRNA from 1 species